UGGUGGAGUAGACUUGAUGGACUGAAUGGCCUCAUUCUGCUUUUAGAGCUUAUGAACAUGAAGAGUUGGUGUGGCCAUGGUGAACAGCAGCAGCUUUGGAACUAUCUUCUGGGAAAAUCAAUGAAGUGUACAUGUUUGUGUAUAAAGCACCACAAAUUGCAUUUUCACAUUGAUUUUAUUGGGAAGAAAAGUAAAUAACAGAAGACUGGAAAAUUUGCCAAUAAUACUGGCCUAAAGGUUCCCAAAAUACCUUAAUGCAAGUAAUUUUCUAGGAUGCUUCCUGUGAAAAGUGUGGGAGGCUGAACUCAUCCAAUGCUCCAUUACAAACCAAUUGGUGGGACUGGUGGAUGGUGACAUUCCUGCAACUUUCCUUAGUUAUCCAAGGAAGAAGGUCCCAUAUGUCUACCUAGAGCCACAGUUGAUUGGGUGACUAUGGACCAGGUUACUGUGCGGAGAUGCAGGCUUCUUCUAUUACUCGAGGAAACUUUCAAUGAAGAUGUUGGAUUUGUAUUCUACUCUUCAGCAGUCAGUAUAUUGCUUCUUUGAGAUUCAUCGAGAUCAGCUGGCUGUAGCAGGAAAAUACUUUAUAAUUAGUAAAUAUGAUGAGCAUAUUUCAGAUCCUUUUCAAAGACAGAGUCCACCAUUUUUCUAAAACACUCCUCUAAUAAAAUACAUCACUUCUAUAAAGUUAGCUUCAGUGACUAAUUCUCAGCUUAUCUUGCAUAAAAUAUCGCUGCAUUAUUUUUGCAAUGAA